rnacentral:rRNA from 1 species
AGUGAACGCUGGCGGUAGGCCUAACACAUGCAAGUCGAACGGCAGCACAGUAAGAGCUUGCUCUUACGGGUGGCGAGUGGCGGACGGGUGAGGAAUACAUCGGAAUCUACUUUUUCGUGGGGGAUAACGUAGGGAAACUUACGCUAAUACCGCAUACGACCUACGGGUGAAAGCAGGGGAUCUUCGGACCUUGCGCGAUUGAAUGAGCCGAUGUCGGAUUAGCUAGUUGGCGGGGUAAAGGCCCACCAAGGCGACGAUCCGUAGCUGGUCUGAGAGGAUGAUCAGCCACACUGGAACUGAGACACGGUCCAGACUCCUACGGGAGGCAGCAGUGGGGAAUAUUGGACAAUGGGCGCAAGCCUGAUCCAGCCAUACCGCGUGGGUGAAGAAGGCCUUCGGGUUGUAAAGACCUUUUGUUGGGAAAGAAAAGCAGCAGGUUAAUACCCCGCUGUUCUGACGGUACCCAAAGAAUAAGCACAGGCUAACUUCGUG